rnacentral:rRNA from 1 species
CCUACGGGCGGCAGCAGUGGGGAAUAUUGCGCAAUGGGCGAAAGCCUGACGCAGCGACGCCGCGUGAGGGAUGAAGGUCUUCGGAUCGUAAACCUCUGUCAGCAGGGAAGAACGGUCACUGUGCUAAUCAGCAGUGAAUUGACGGUACCUGCAAAGGAAGCACCGGCUAACUCCGUGCCAGCAGCCGCGGUAAUACGGAGGGUGCGAGCGUUAAUCGGAAUUACUGGGCGUAAAGCGCUCGUAGGCGGUAUGUCAAGUCAAGGGUGAAAUCCCCGCGCUCAACGUGGGAACUGCCUUUGAAACUGGCAAACUGGAGUAUGUGAGAGGAUAGUGGAAUUCCAGGUGUAGGAGUGAAAUGCGUAGAUAUCUGGAGGAACAUCAGUGGCGAAGGCGAUUAUCUGGCACAUAACUGACGCUGAGGCGCGAAAGCGUGGGUAGCAAACAGGAUUAGAUACCCUUGUAGUC